GGUGGCGUGUCCGAGCGGCCGAAGGUGCAUCACUCGAAAUGAUGUGUAGUUAAUAGCUACCGCGGGUUCAAAUCCCGCCGCCACCGCCA
rnacentral:tRNA from 4 species